CCUACGGGUGGCUGCAGUGGGGAAUAUUGCGCAAUGGGCGAAAGCCUGACGCAGCGACGCCGCGUGAGGGAUGAAGGUCUUCGGAUCGUAAACCUCUGUCAGCAGGGAAGAACGGUCACUGUGCUAAUCAGCAGUGAAUUGACGGUACCUGCAAAGGAAGCACCGGCUAACUCCGUGCCAGCAGCCGCGGUAAUACGGAGGGUACGAGCGUUAAUCGGAAUUACUGGGCGUAAAGCGCUCGUAGGCGGUAUGUCAAGUCAAGGGUGAAAUCCCCGCGCUCAACGUGGGAACUGCCGUUGAAACUGGCAAACUGGAGUGUGUGAGAGGAUAGUGGAAUUCCAGGUGUAGGGGUGAAAUGCGUAGAUAUCUGGAGGAACAUCAGUGGCGAAGGCGACUAUCUGGCACAUAACUGACGCUGAGGAGCGAAAGCGUGGGUAGCAAACAGGAUUAGAUACCCUUGUAGUC
rnacentral:rRNA from 1 species